rnacentral:rRNA from 1 species
AUUGAACGCUGGCGGCGUGCUUAACACAUGCAAGUCGAACGGAGUGGCGAACGGGUGAGUAACACGUGGGUGACCUGCCCUGUACUUCGGGAUAAGCAUGGGAAACUGGGACUAAUACCGGAUAGUGUGGGAUGGGCCCGCGGCCUAUUAGCUUGUUGGGGGGGUAAUGGCCGACCAAGGCGGCGACGGGCAGCCGGCCUGAGAGGGUGGACGGCCACAUUUGAACUGUGACACGGCCCGGACGGCGACGGAAGGCAACAGUGGGGAUGCUUGCACAAUGAGCGGAAGCAUGAUGAAGGGACGCCGCGAGGGGGAUGACGGCCUUGGGGUUGGAAAGUCCAUUAACCAUCGACGCGGUAGAUGGAGAAGAAGCACCGGCUAACUACGUGCCAGCAGCCGCGGUAAUUC